rfam:Macellibacteroides sp. HH-ZS contig_00007, whole genome shotgun sequence.
GAGGGCAGGCCCCUCGUAACCGUCUUACAGGAGAUGGUUACAAACCAGUGUAUGCUGCUUUGUUUAAGAGACAAGGUGGUGAGCGAUACACCAAAAGGCGAUAUAAAUCGUCAGGU